UAAUAAAUAAUACUACAGAAACUACUGGCUUUGCUCUUUAUGUAAAUGUGAACUGAAUUUCUGCAUGCCAAAAAGCAAAAAUUAUAAAAAAAAUAAAAAAGCGACUGCAAACGCAAUGUAACAAUAAUAAUAAUAGUUAUUUUAGCCAAAAACAACAAGCGCCUAACUAUGUUAGUGCCAUGGAAACAUACGCGGCUGUAACAGCAAAAAAACCUUGGACUUCAACAAGUGGAAAAGCGGCUUUCGAGAAUGCAAACACGUACAGCGUCUUCAAGGACACAUAUAAACAACAUCGCCGCAGCGCCUUGAUGGCGCCAAUGUUAGGAUGCACUACUUUCAAUAAGCUCGCUUCAUUGUAUAAUAUGUCCCUGCAUAAGCAAUAUAAAAACCUAAUUUCCAAUCAAACCGGUGACACCCCAACCAGCAGAGCGCGUGACAAACACUGGCGCACAAAAGCCAAGAAUCGAACCAAACACCGGCUGAGCGCGGCAAAAACUUUAAAUAAGCGUUUGCUCUUUUUCUCUAUGUACCUGAGCUUAAAGAGAACACCAUCAGUUGGUUGUCAAAAUAGCGCAGUUUGCAGUGAAAUCGAAGGAAUGUCUGUUCUUUUGCCAGUGUCGUCCUGGCGCCGAUGUCUUCUGUAAGCGACUUGGUCUGCGUGCAUUUGAUCCUGCGUGCACGCGUUAGAUUAUACAUGUGCAUAAAAUUUAUUACCGGAGAAAAUAAUUGACUACGUCGGAGCUUUGCAUUAUGCUCUUAAAAUAUGUAUGUAUAUGACAAAACUGGAACUAUUUAAACUGUAUGAGGAUGAAUCGCUUUUUGUGUGUGUGUUUACACAUUUUUGCACGCGUAAAAGUACAAAUAAAUAAGGUUACACAUUGGAGCAUAUAUAUGUAUGUAUGUACAUACAUAGGUUAGAAUGCAAAGAAAGCAAUACACUUACCUGUUCCACUCUCGUUGAAAGGGUUCUGCUGUACCCUGGAAUUCGUGUUGGAUCGCGGUGGGGGCUGCGGGCGCUUUUGGGCACCAUCUCUAGGCCCCAUCACAGCUCCACCCAGCAAGUGUUGCGUUUCCGGCUCCAAGUCACUGAGUAUGCUCUGUGUUACCGUCCCACUGACACGUCGCAACAAUUGCACAGGUGUCGAAUUGGAUUCAAUUUCCUGUUGCACUUUAGAAUUGUACAACUCAUCUAAAGAGUUUUUGCGAAAGCCCUGCAACUUUGGUCCAUCACUAGUCGCCACAAUAUCAUAAACAUCUAAAUUCACCACAAGUUUAAGUACAAUACACACAAUUAAUUUUUUAUUUCCAUUAUAUAUCAUAUACACGCUUUUUUUAAAGCAAUCUCUCCAAAUAAUUUUUUCGCGAAUAACAAUUGUACGAAAUUGUAGAAAA